rnacentral:rRNA from 1 species
UACGUAGGGACCAAGCGUUGUCCGGAAUCAUUGGGCGUAAAGAGCGUGUAGGCGGCUUGUUAAGUCUUGCGUGAAAUCUCGGGGCUCAACCCCGAGCGGUCGUGAGAAACUGGCAGGCUAGAGUGCGGGAGAGGAGAGUGGAAUUCCUGGUGUAGCAGUGAAAUGCGUAGAUAUCAAGAGGAACACCAGUGGCGAAGGCGAGUCCCUGGACAACACCUGACACUGAGGCACGAAAGCUAGGGGAGCAAACAGG